GGACCUGCGCGUCCGGAGCCUGUGGUCCGCAACGGGAGAGACCACAACGCUCCCCAGGGCACACUUGUUUGGAGCUAGAGGUGUGGGUGAUGGCAACACCAGGGUGUGCUUGGAUUAACUCUUUGGAUGUACUGCCCAGGUGUGUCAAGAAGUGAUUCCUCCCAGCCCCAAACACUUUUUUACAAAGAUAUUUAGGCCAGCUUAUUUCUUCCCCAUCCCCUCCAGUUGGGUUGUGUCAUUAAUUUGUAAUAAAUUUAGAUUCAUUUGUUAUAGUCUACAUUUAAUCUUUCUCCCUGCUGUCCUGGUUGAGUGUUUACAUUUUGCGAAUGGUAAAAUUCACUCUUUGUUGGUCUAGUCCUAUGAGUUUUAAAAAGUGCAGAGAGUUGUGUGUCCACCACCACAGUAACAUCAUCCUAGGAGUUACAUCACCCUAGUAAUUCAUUAUUUUUUAGUAGUAUUCCAUUGAAAAAAUAAAUCAUAAUUUAUUUAUUCAUUUACUUGUUGCUAGAUAUUAGGAUUCUUUCCAGGCUUGGCUCUUAUAGAUAUGGCUGCAGUGAAAUUCUUAUGCAAGCCUUUUUGUGGACACAGGUUUUUAGUUAUCUUGGUUAGAUACCUAGAAGUGGAGUUGCCAUAUCAUAAGGAAAGAGUAUGUUUAUUUUUUUAAAAAACCUACUAGGGCUUCCCUGGUGGCGCAGUG